rnacentral:rRNA from 1 species
AUUCCAGCUCCAAUAGCGUAUAUUAAUGUUGUUGCAGUUAAAAAGCUCGUAGUUGAAUUUCUGGAAUGAACUUUCGGUCCGAGGCCUCGUGUCUUGCGUACUGUUUCUGUUCAUCCCAUCUUAGUAGUGAGUGUUACUGGCAUUCGGUUGUCGGUUGCAGGAGCUGCUUCGUUUACUGUGAAUAAAAUAGAGUGUUUAAAGCAGGCAUUACGCCUUGAAUACUUCAGCAUGGAAUAAAAUUAUAGGACUUAGGUGCUAUUUUAUUGGUUUGCACACCUAGUAAUGAUUAAUAGGGAUAGUUGGGGGUAUUCAUAUUUGAUUGUCAGAGGUGAAAUUCUUGGAUUUAUGAAAGAUGAACUUAUGCGAAAGCAUUUACCAAGGAUGUUUUCAUCG